rnacentral:lncRNA from 1 species
GGGAUCAGCAUGUUUUUCCUCCUCCAGGAGACAUUCCUCCGCGGAUCAGACCAUGCUCCUUCCACAUUGAAAGCCUGUGCUCACACUUUGAAUAUGUUGACUGAAAGACCUUCAUGAGCCGGACACGCUCCUUGGUGUUACACUUGCAGGAGUUGCCGAUGGAGGCCUGCAGUACUCUCGGAGUUGUUGGCAGCUUUAAAGGUUCUGGAGGCUACCUACAUUCCUUGACUCAUGGCCAUGCAUAAAUCUCACCUUUGUUUCUGCUGUUCCAUCUCCUUCUUCAACUGACCUUUCUGCCUCCCUCUUAUAACGACUCUCAUGGUUACAUUGGGCCCACCCAGAUCGUCAAGAAUACCCUCCCCAUCUCAAGAUCAGUAACUUGAGCACAUUGGAAAAGUCUUUUUAUGCUAUGUAAGGUAACAUACUAGUAGAUUGUGGGGAUUAGAAUGUGAACAUCCUAGUGGGGCCACUAUUCUACCUGUCACAUUAACUUUCCCUAUUGAACUUUGAGAUUUAGAACGUCUUAUGGCCUAAAUUUUGUCCCCAUAAAAUAUAUGUGCUGAAGCUUUAUCCCUAAUGUGACCAUAUUCAGAAAUAGGCCAAUUGAAAAGGUAAUUAAACUUAAACAGGAUCAUGAAAGUGGGGCCCUAAUCUGGUAGGACUGUGUCGUUGUAACAAGUGGAAGAGACACUACAAGCAUGUAUACAUGGAAGAAAAACCACGUGAGGACACAGCCAUCUACAAGCCAAGGAAAGAGGCUUUAAGAGAAAUCAACUAGCUAACACCUUAAUCUUGAACUUCCCGUCUCCAUAAUUGUGAAAAAAUAAAUUUAUGUUCUUGAAG